UACAGAGGUCUCAAGCGUUGUUCGGAUUCAUUGGGCGUAAAGGGUGCGUAGGCGGCGCGGUAAGUCGGGUGUGAAAUCUCGGAGCUUAACUCCGAAACUGCAUUCGAUACUGCCGUGCUUGAGGACUGGAGAGGAGACUGGAAUUUACGGUGUAGCGGUGAAAUUCGUAGAUAUUCGGAAGAACACCAGUGGCGAAGGCGACUCACUGGACACGUAUUGACGCUGAGGUGCGAAAGCGUGGGGAGCAAACAGG
rnacentral:rRNA from 1 species